UAGAUACAACAAUUUGCUCAAGCCUAAUUUCGGCUGGCCAAACCAUAGUACGAUCUAUGACCACAGCUGUAUCAGUUAUAGUGACCCCGAUAGAUAUUUACAGUCAUGACAUUACUUAGCCAUGGGUGACCCUUACAGAUAGUUGGAUACCACUCUCGUCAGAAGGUACGCCAUCAUCCACUGAAAGUAGUCCUCUUAAAUUUUUUCAGACCAGAUAAGGGAGGAGAAAACAAAUACCCUGAAGGGCAAGGGGAACAGAUACCCCUCAGAGAUAAAAAGCUUAACGAGACACUUGAUGCAACAUGCAUGUCAAUAGAGAU
rnacentral:lncRNA from 1 species